AUUGAACGCUGGCGGCAGGCCUAACACAUGCAAGUCGAGCGGAUGAAGGGAGCUUGCUCCUGGAUUCAGCGGCGGACGGGUGAGUAAUGCCUAGGAAUCUGCCUGGUAGUGGGGGAUAACGUCCGGAAACGGGCGCUAAUACCGCAUACGUCCUGAGGGAGAAAGUGGGGGAUCUUCGGACCUCACGCUAUCAGAUGAGCCUAGGUCGGAUUAGCUAGUUGGUGGGGUAAAGGCCUACCAAGGCGACGAUCCGUAACUGGUCUGAGAGGAUGAUCAGUCACACUGGAACGGAGACACGGUCCAGACUCCUACGGGAGGCAGCAGUGGGGAAUAUUGGACAAUGGGCGAAAGCCUGAUCCAGCCAUGCCGCGUGUGUGAAGAGGGUCUUCGGAUUGUAAAGCACUUUAAAUUGGGAGGAAGGGCAGUAAGUUAAUACCUUGCUGUUUUGACGUUACCAACAGAAUAAGCACCGGCUAACUUCGUG
rnacentral:rRNA from 1 species